rnacentral:rRNA from 1 species
AUUGAACGCUGGCGGCAGGCCUAACACAUGCAAGUCGAACGGUAACAGGAAACAGCUUGCUGUUUCGCUGACGAGUGGCGGACGGGUGAGUAAUGUCUGGGAAACUGCCUGAUGGAGGGGGAUAACUACUGGAAACGGUAGCUAAUACCGCAUAACGUCGCAAGACCAAAGAGGGGGACCCUCGGGCCUCUUGCCAUCGGAUGUGCCCAGAUGGGAUUAGCUUGUUGGUGGGGUAACGGCUCACCAAGGCGACGAUCCCUAGCUGGUCUGAGAGGAUGACCAGCCACACUGGAACUGAGACACGGUCCAGACUCCUACGGGAGGCAGCAGUGGGGAAUAUUGCACAAUGGGCGCAAGCCUGAUGCAGCCAUGCCGCGUGUAUGAAGAAGGCCUUCGGGUUGUAAAGUACUUUCAGCGGGGAGGAAGGGAGUAAAGUCAAUACCUUUGCUCAUUGACGUUACCCGCAGAAGAAGCACCGGCUAACUCCGUG